rnacentral:rRNA from 1 species
GAUGAACGCUGGCGGCGUGCCUAAUACAUGCAAGUCGAGCGAACGGACGAGAAGCUUGCUUCUCUGAUGUUAGCGGCGGACGGGUGAGUAACACGUGGAUAACCUACCUAUAAGACUGGGAUAACUUCGGGAAACCGGAGCUAAUACCGGAUAAUAUUUUGAACCGCAUGGUUCAAAAGUAAAAGACGGUCUUGCUGUCACUUAUAGAUGGAUCCGCGCUGCAUUAGCUAGUUGGUAAGGUAACGGCUUACCAAGGCAACGAUGCAUAGCCGACCUGAGAGGGUGAUCGGCCACACUGGAACUGAGACACGGUCCAGACUCCUACGGGAGGCAGCAGUAGGGAAUCUUCCGCAAUGGGCGAAAGCCUGACGGAGCAACGCCGCGUGAGUGAUGAAGGUCUUCGGAUCGUAAAACUCUGUUAUUAGGGAUGAACAUAUGUGUAAGUAACUGUGCACAUCUUGAAGGUACCUAAUCAGAAAGCCACGGCUAACUACGUG